rnacentral:tRNA from 1 species
GUAUCGACAUGGUGGAGCUUCCGGCGCCGCGUUCGGGCGAGGGGCCCUACCUGCGGGUGUCCGACCUGCGGGUGCGGUUCGACACCGAGGACGGCGUG